rnacentral:lncRNA from 1 species
AGCACUAUCUCAGAGUCAAGCUUUAGAAAAAAAAUCUGUUAACUGCCUAUAUGUCAGAAACAUAUUCAAGAUCAUCGAAGUAGUUCAGACACACAUAAAUAAAGGUGAUGAUUUGUAUUCCACAUAAAAACAUGCUUAUAUUGGACACAAAUCUACAUAGAAACAAAGUAUACCAUGAGUGCUGGAUGCUGAAGGGAGUGAGAUAUAAAAAAUAUUGCUUAUGGGCAUAUUUGUUUUUAGAGUUCCCAAUCUUUCUAAUGCUACAACCCUUUAAUGUAGUUCUUUGUGUUGAUGUGCUCCCCCCCAAAAAAUUUAUUUCAUUGCUCAUUCAUAACUGUACUUUUGCUAAUGUUAUGAAUUGUAAUGUAAAUAUCUGAUAGGCAAAACCCAAAAGGGUCAGCCCCCCUGGGUUGAAAACAAGACUAAAGAAAAUAUUUCACUAUUAGACACUGAUAAUACUUAUACCACAGUACUCCAUAUUUUAAACCAAUGAAGUGUUCACUUUUGAAAUGAAGGUUUAAUGAUGUGUGAGUUAUAUCUUUGACUUGCUGUCACACUGCCAUGUUCUUCAAACGGAUCUAGGUGUAAAGAGCUAGAGGUCGGUAAUAAGAUUUUCAAGAUUAUUGUUUGGGUGUUUGUAGAUCACUGUAUUUAAAACAAGAUUGGGAACAACCAAAAAGUAACAGUGGCAGAUAUGAGUGGAGAUGAAACUGAAUAUGAAGUUCAUAAGACGCUUAAGUGUUCAUAAAUGGGCAAUAAAUUGCUUCAUAUAAAUUUAAUGAAGCUCAUUCUUGAGGGGUCAUUGCCACAUCCCUCUGAUUUCAUGUGUUAAAAAAUAUAGUACAUUAUCAUGAAUAAUUGUUUUGUUUUUCUGUGCAUACAUUUUAUUCAAAGAGUGGGCAUUAUUAGAGACUCUUAUGUACAAGAAUAUCGUAAAAAAGCCCAACAUAUCAGAUAUAUAAAUAUAUUAUAUGAGACACUUAUUUUUACUAUUUCUUCCACAUAUUGAAGAGUGAAAAAUAUUAUUUAUGUUGAAUUUGAACCUAGAAUUUUAAAUGAUGUGUAGAGAAUACUAUACUGAAUCAGAGAUGGAAGAGUAGUAAGCUAAAACUC